AUGGAGACACGAGGGAAAGCCCUACCGCUCGAGCGCGCGCAUGCAUUGCUAGUUGACAAAUUCGUCAAUCAUCUUUUCUGUUACCAGCAUCGCAUCAUCGACGGGACAAAGCGUCUUGUCCUUUCCUCUUUCCCAGCUUCCUUCCACACUUCACCCACCUGCCCUGCCACCCCCUUUCUCUCGUCUCAUCUCAUCUCAUCUCAGGUAAACCAAAAAAGAAAAGUGUACCAGGCCAUGCAUCCAUACAAAGCCCAUAAUCCCUUUACAGCAAAAAAGGUGAAACCAAAGCUAGCCAAAGAAACGACAGAAAUCAAAGUAAUUUCCCCAGUGUAA
rnacentral:rRNA from 1 species